rnacentral:lncRNA from 1 species
GCUGCAAUAUCUUUACUUAACAAGAAGCAGUUAAUAUAAUGGGAUACAACUUUGCACGCCCCUAGGUACCAAAUAUUUGGACUCGGUCAAUGUUUACCGUCUAAUCGUCAAGUUCUUGCAGUACUUUUUUUAAUAUUCGCGAAGUUAAAUUGACUGGUAGUGAAAGCGCUAACCUUGUCAUUCGGGUCACGAUAAACUUACCAGCUCUGAUGAAAGCCUUUAGGAACCUUUUGCAGCCACUUCUCAAAUGUUGCAGCUUUAGAUAGAUAUCAAUUAAGCAUACGGAAUUCUAUUCAUAUACUUCAGACUGUAGUAGAAGCUCUAGAUCUUAGCUGUGAUGAUUUUCCGAUAAACAAAUCGUCUAUUUAACGUAUUCGCACACAGAGUCGACAAGAUAGAGCGGAGCCAAUAAAAUCAGAUUUUCACAAUAAUGUGCCGGAAAUAGUAACAGUUCACUGGAAUGGGAAAUCAGUUGACGUGAGAAGCUCUAAAGAAGAACAACUACUAAUUCUAAUUUCAUUUGGCGAAAAGGAACAACUUCUGACUGUACCCAAACUGGAGAGCUCUUCUGGCCAGGAUCAAGCUAAAGCUGUGUUGAAUGCACUUUAGGACUAGAACCUCGAUGACAAAGUACAAAUAAUGUGCUGUGAUACAACUGCGUCUAAUACGGGCCGAUGGAAAGGAGCUUGUGUACGUUUGGACCCAAAACUAAACAGGAAAUUGCUACUCUUUCACGUUUACGAACUGAUUUUAAAAUGUGAAAAUUCCCCAAGUCAAAAGCAGCCUUGAUAUCCAAAGGUUCAAAAAGUUUAGAGAAAUUUAUUUUCUCGAUUAAAAAAUUAUAAAUUGAUAUUCUGCCUUUGGGAAGCAAUUACCCUAUGUACUUCGCAUGUGCAUUUGUCGGACGGCGGGCAGAAUUCAGGUCGCAAUUUCUGUCGAAAACAAAAACUUCAAAGAGAUUCAUAUUUGUUAAUAACCUUUCUUCUAGUUGAACUAAGAAAAAUCAAAAAAAAAAGUUUAAAGUUCUACAAUUUUUCAAAAAUUAAAAAAAGUUGUUUUUGACCAAAAAAUUACUUUACGUUGUUUAAAAAUAUGUUAAAACUUGACUUUUCUUGGCUUUAAUGCCAAAGAUAAUAAAUUUUGCCCCAUUUCCAUUCGA